rnacentral:rRNA from 1 species
GGCGGCGUGCCUAACACAUGCAAGUCGUACGAGAAAGUUGGCUUCGGCUGAUGAGUAAAGUGGCGCACGGGUGAGUAACGCGUGGAUAAUCUACCUUUUAGUUGGGAAUAACGUACCGAAAGGUGCGCUAAUACCGGAUAAUACUGAGUGACUACUGUUGCUUAGUCAAAGAAGGCCUCUGUUUACAAGCUUUUGCUGAAAGAUGAGUCCGCGUACCAUUAGCUAGUUGGUAGGGUAAUGGCCUACCAAGGCUACGAUGGUUAGCUGGUCUGAGAGGAUGAUCAGCCACACUGGAACUGAGACACGGUCCAGACUCCUACGGGAGGCAGCAGUGAGGAAUAUUGCGCAAUGGGGGCAACCCUGACGCAGCAACGCCGCGUGAGUGAGGAAGGUUUUCGGAUCGUAAAGCUCUGUCGAGUGGGAAGAAAUGUAUCAUGGCUAAUAUCCAUGGUACUUGACGGUACCGCUAAAGGAAGCACCGGCUAACUCCGUG